GAUGAACGCUGGCGGCGUGCCUAAUACAUGCCAGUCGAGCGAACGGACGAGAAGCUUGCUUCUCUGAUGUUAGCGGCGGACGGGUGAGUAACACGUGGAUAACCUACCUAUAAGACUGGGAUAACUUCGGGAAACCGGAGCUAAUACCGGAUGAUAUUUUGAACCGCAUGGUUCAAAAGUGAAAGACGGUCUUGCUGUCACUUAUAGAUGGAUCCGCGCUGCAUUAGCUAGUUGGUAAGGUAACGGCUUACCAAGGCAACGAUGCAUAGCCGACCUGAGAGGGUGAUCGGCCACACUGGGACUGAGACACGGUCCAGACUCCUACGGGAGGCAGCAGUAGGGAAUCUUCCGCAAUGGGCGAAAGCCUGACGGAGCAACGCCGCGUGAGUGAUGAAGGUCUUCGGAUCGUAAAACUCUGUUAUUAGGGAAGAACAUAUGUGUAAGUAACUGUGCACAUCUUGACGGUACCUAAUCAGAAAGCCACGGCUAACUACGUG
rnacentral:rRNA from 1 species